UCUAAUAUGGCAGAAUAGUGCAAUGGACUUAAAUCCCAUUUAUAAAGAUUAUCUUUUUUUAGAU
rnacentral:tRNA from 1 species